UGAUGUGUGAUGGGGUCCUCUGUCAGGCAGUGUCAAACCAAUUUGGAGGGCUCUUGGAGUUUACUUUUCAUGAAAGAACAUAGAAGAGGAAAGAAAUGACAGUAAGACUGAAUUAUGAACUCCCAGAAGUGGAGGACAAGAACUGAUUGUAUUCUGGAAGCUGAAUUUACCGCUCUUGACUAAUGCUGGGCAAUGAGGUUGUAAAGACCCAUCCUACCUGCAGGAAUACACACCACCACACUCCAUGUGGAAGAAAUACGUGGUUGACCACGUAAUGAGGAGAACAGCCCUGAAGAGAGCGAGGACAAGGAUAUUUGCAAAAGAAAAGGAAGGAAGGAAGAAAGAAUGUGUGGGAUAAGUCUAUCUUGCAUUAGAUAACACCAGGGAGGGUUGAUAUGAUCGUUGCUUUGGUUCUACACAGAUACAUCAGGAAAAUAAGGCAGCUCCUUUUCAGGACAUCCAUCAGCUUCUGAGGAGCUAAAACCUGGCAGGAUACACUGUGCAAUUAGUGAUUGGAGCCUGUGUUCCUGUGUCAUGUAUGCGAAGUGGG